rnacentral:rRNA from 1 species
UACGGAGGAUCCAAGCGUUAUCCGGAUUUAUUGGGUUUAAAGGGUGCGUAGGCGGACUAGUAAGUCAGUGGUGAAAGCCUGUCGCUUAACGACAGAACUGCCAUUGAUACUGCUAAUCUUGAGUAUAAUUGAAGUGGGCGGAAUGUGUCGUGUAGCGGUGAAAUGCUUAGAUAUGACACAGAACACCGAUUGCGAAGGCAGCUCACUAAACUAUAACUGACGCUGAGGCACGAAAGCGUGGGGAUCAAACAGG